rnacentral:rRNA from 1 species
GACGAACGCUGGCGGCGUGCUUAACACAUGCAAGUCGAACGGAAAGGCCUGUCCUUCCUUGUGUUGGACGGGUACUCGAGUGGCGAACGGGUGAGUAGCACGUGAGUGAUCUGCCCCCAACUUGGGUAUAAGCCUGGGAAACUGGGUCUAAUUCCCGAUAGGACUGCAGGGUGGUGCCUGUGGUGGAAAACGAUUUUCUAGUGGUUGGGGAUGAGCUCGCGGCCUAUCAGCUUGUUGGUGGGGUAAUGGCCUACCAAGGCGGCGACGGGUAGCCGGCCUGAGAGGGUGGACGGCCACAUUGGGACUGAGAUACGGCCCAGACUCCUACGGGAGGCAGCAGUGGGGAAUAUUGCACAAUGGGCGGAAGCCUGAUGCAGCGACGCCGCGUGGGGGAUGACGGCCUUCGGGUUGUAAACUCCUUUCGACCGCGAGGAAGCCGCCUGGUUGGAAGGGUGGUGACGGUAGUGGUAGAAGAAGCACCGGCUAACUACGUG